rnacentral:lncRNA from 1 species
GUAAUUUUAAGACCAAAUUUGGGUCUCCUCUACCAAUUUUCAGUGCGCAGCCCACUCAAAAGACCUAAUUUCAAUUCAAAUGUAGCACCAACCCAAUUUUUUUUAUUUUUUUCUCCUUUCCAGAAAACCCAUAUCCAAUUCUCCAAAUAAAACAUUCCCCACCAGCAGCCCAAAAAUAAUAACCCAACUAAAAUGAAUAACCUGACCCAACUCUGUUCUCCCUCUUCAACGUUAACAACAGCAGAAAAAUGGCAAGACGCGUGAAUGUCCCUGACCCGUUGUACGCGUUUUUCUCCUCUCAAGCGAGGGCGAGUCAAUGACGCUCCAACGUCUCUUUCUCCCUUUUCCGCAUCGUACAAUUUUUCACCAGCUGUAGCCGCCUGAAGAAUCGUCCUUGCAUCCGUGAUUUUUGCCUUUGACGCUUGGAGAUUGAGCCACGUAGCUUCGCCAAGUACGAUCGAUUUGAUCUAGCCGUCUACCCCCUUUUCCCUUUUCAGAAUGGGGUUGAAGUUUGAGAGAAAGGUGUUCGUCCAAAAAUGGUGAUUUUUUCAUAGUUUUAAAUUUUGAAUAGGCUCGGUUUGAUCGAAAAUUGGAUUGGUUUCCCUCCAAUUUUUUUCCAAACCCUAAUUCUUCCCCUUAUAUAUUGUAUUUUUCUGUUCACUUUGAGGGAGUUUUUCUUUGAGGAAUUUUACUAAGGCAUAAAGAAUCGUCAUAACAAAGAUAGUUAGAGGAUAUAGGAAAUACAUUCAAAGGAGGGCAGGGGGAAUUAUUUUUCGUUCAAGUCUCGCUUUUUCGAAUCGAUCACCAUCAUCUUUCUAGGCUAGUCUGAUCUCGAGUUUUCUUCUUAGACUCCUCAUUGCUGCUUGGUUCGUGUGGUGGAAGAGCUCAUCUCAUUUUCGUCUCUGUUUUGCUGCCCCUCUAAAGUUCUGGUCGUUAAAGUGCUUUGAAGAAGACUAGACGAAGCCUUGGAUCUCUUAUUCAUCCAAGUAGGGUAGGUCCUCAAUUUCCGAGGGCGAUGCCACUAUCUAGCUUAUGGAGUUGCUUUUAGUUCAAGAAUUCUAUGGUUCUUUCUUUCUAUUUAGUAUGAAACAUUAUAUAGCCCAUGUGAGACAUUUUUACUUUGAUGAUGUAUGGGUUAUGCCCAAGUUCUUACACUCUUAUUAGAUGGUUUUGAAAUAAUACAAAUAUUAUGACUAUUAUGUCUAUCUUAUAUUUUAUAUACUUACAUGCAAUAAAAGUAGAAGACUAAGUCAUCUUUCUAUAUGAAGGGACUAUGUAUACUCGAUAUCUGUAUGUUAUGUAUAUAUAGAAGUCUAUGUAAACCUCGAAGAAGUAGUAAUGAAAUUUUUUAAAUUUUCCG